rnacentral:rRNA from 1 species
AACGAACGCUGGCGGCGCGCCUAACACAUGCAAGUCGAACGGGGCGGCAUCCUUCGGGGUGGCGCUCAGUGGCGGACGGGUGCGUAACGCGUGGGAACCUGCCCCGGGCUCCGGGACAAC